rnacentral:lncRNA from 1 species
GUGUAUAUUGGGAUUAGUAUGACUGGCUUUAUCCUGGUUGCCUCCAUAGUCUAUGCAUGUUGUAAACAGAAAUGUUCAGAACAAAGAAGUUCAUCUGGAUCAAGUUCAAGAACGAACGAUCAGUUGCCAACUGUAAGUUUUUCUGUGCAGCCUCCACCGCCGUAUACCAAUCCUCCACCUUACCAUCCCGAGGAGCCAGGAACCAGUGUCAAAGUAGAAGAAUGGUUUACCUUACCUAAAGAACCACCACCGCCUUAUUCUUUGCAUGACACAACGUCCUAACGAAUCAGAGUUAUAUAUUUACUAGGAUGAUUUAUCACACGUUUUUCAGUGAAUUAUCGUAACAUUAGAGUGAAAUAUAUCUGAUAUUUUCAAAAUGAAAAAUAUCAAAUUCACUGAAUAAGAAACUAUAAGAUGGGUACAUUUAGUGAAAACGUGAAAUAAAAAGAAAGUUUGUUUGUUUUACGUGUAAGAUCAAAAUGUGCCACUCGUAAAAAUAUUGCCUCUGGUGUUCUGUCAUGACAGAUACUUGUAUAGAAAUUUUCCAGAGGAAAUGAAGAUUAUAAAUUGUCUAUUGCGUAUUUAUGAGUGAAUUUCAGGAAGUUCAGUCAGAAAUCAGUAUUUAUUUGCUAACAGCUUGAUGCAAAUAACAUCCUUAAACAUUUAUUUUAAAUGUACGUCGCAGAAAUGUGCCUUUAUGUGUUGAAAUAUUUUACCCUAGAAAUCAUGGUUACUAGAAUGUGCCGCAACAUUUGUUUUAUGUUGCAAACAUUUUAAGGACGCACCUGAACAUUUUCACGUCUAGGGAUGUCUGGUCCACGAAGAAAUGAUUUCAGACGAGCCGUGGUAAUGGGUUUCUGAUCAAAGUGUCGAGGAUUUCAGGACGAAUUUUGUGUUGAUUGUCUGUUGCCAUCGAAAACGACAGUUGGUUCAAUGUUUAACUGAUUUUUUAAAAUUAUAAUGUGAUUUUAUCUGAUACUCAAGUGACUGUAUCUUAACAGAUUAUUUUAAAAAUAGCAAAAUAAACCUGAUGACAUUUAAAUGUCACAGAUUUCAUGACGAGCCUUUUUUCUAUGUCAUGGAUUUCUGUCUUCAUUAUGAUAGAUUUAUUACUUGGGAUUAUGGGUAAUUCGGACAUUACCUAUAUUGAAAAUUCAUUACGUGAUACACAAGACAGACAUUUCAUGUAUCGGUUACCAACAUGUCGUUUACGUUUCUUCGUGUGGCCGACAUCCCUGUAUACAGCUGUAUAUAUAAACUGGUUUUACGUUUAGAAUGUGGGUAAUAUGUUUGACGACGUCAUUUCUAACAAAACAAGAAACAUUAUUUCAUAAUUCUAAAUUUACAUAUUGCUCUUCUCAUUAUUUUUCAAAAACUGCAGGGCAUAAACAGGACUUUUUCAAAAAUAAUGAUGUUAAACAGGACAUUGCAUGUACAAUCUAAUAGCACUAACAAGUAGUUUGAUAAGGUAAUGGAAACAUUCAACAGAAAAAAAAACAGAAAUGGAAAUAACAGUAAUUUAAAGCGAAUGUGAAACAUACAAGAUUAUAAACAUUGGACAAGAAUUUUAGCUCCUUAGAAAGAAUUACAAGUUUAUAUCAUAUAGCAACGUUUCUACUUCCUACUUUGCGUAUUUGAUAGAUUUUUAAUUUUCAUCAUACAUUUUUUUUUUUGUAAUCAAGAUGAUAGACGUGUAAGCGGGUUUAAAGUAAGUUUCGUCUUAUACUUUUGUCCGUAACUUGCUUAGUUCGGGUUGCAAAGUAUGAAUGCCAGCAUGGAUAGCUAGAAAUAUGAUUUUCUGACACUCGUCUAUAGUUACUUCAACCAACAGGUUCUAGGUAUGUAAGACAUUGUCAUUGAAACUUAUCUAUUGUGGUCUAAACUACAGAUGCAAAACAUACACGAAUUUUGACUCAGACCAUUACUAUUUUCUCCAUAAAAAGGAGGAAAAUCAGCUCGUAUCAAUUUCUAGAAGAAGUUAUAUUCACAGUAUUAGCCGCACAGUAUGGUGUGUCACAGUGCGUUGCGGUCUAAACGGAACCAUCUAGUCGCAUUAAACGAAACUGUCUUAAAUCCAAUGGAUUGUCACGUAGUCUAGAAUAUUUCUUACAAAAUAAUUUAUCAUAACGACUGUAAUUAAACAAAGAACAAACUAUAGUAAGAGUCACCUAGUUUCUAUGUUAUAUCAUAUGUAUUAUUCGUCAAUAAUGCAUUUAUACAAGCAGUUCGUAUGAACUGAAAAUAAUCAUGUGUCUUCCAAAAAUGUUGAUAUGAUUCUAUCAGCUAUCAAUUUUAUUUUUAAAUUUGUAUAUUUAUUUGUAUUUGAUCAGCACCAUUUAUUGCUUCUUCCAGAUGACUUAUGAUAUUAUAUGUGUGUAUGUAUAUAUGCUCUCAUUUAUGUUGUUUUAAAUAGUUGGUCUGUAUGAAUAAAGAUGUUGAUUUACCUGAA